GACGAACGCUGGCGGCGUGCCUAAUCCAUGCAAGUCGAACGCUUCUUUCCUCCCGAGUGCUUGCACUCAAUUGGAAAGAGGAGUGGCGGACGGGUGAGUAACACGUGGGUAACCUACCCAUCAGAGGGGGAUAACACUUGGAAACAGGUGCUAAUACCGCAUAACAGUUUAUGCCGCAUGGCAUAAGAGUGAAAGGCGCUUUCGGGUGUCGUUGAUGGAUGGACCCGCGGUGCAUUAGCUAGUUGGUGAGGUAACGGCUCACCAAGGCCACGAUGCAUAGCCGACCUGAGAGGGUGAUCGGCCACACUGGGACUGAGACACGGCCCAGACUCCUACGGGAGGCAGCAGUAGGGAAUCUUCGGCAAUGGACGAAAGUCUGACCGAGCAACGCCGCGUGAGUGAAGAAGGUUUUCGGAUCGUAAAACUCUGUUGUUAGAGAAGAACAAGGACGUUAGUAACUGAACGUCCCCUGACGGUAUCUAACCAGAAAGCCACGGCUAACUACGUG
rnacentral:rRNA from 1 species